ACGAGACGCUGAUUGUCUGCGCAGUUCGUCUGCGCAUGGGAAGAGAUGGCGGUGGACAUAAUAUGGUUGUGUUGAGUUGUGCGAAAAUUUGAACGUUUAUAUGAGUGUAAAACGGUUUCACGUUUUGUUCAGCACCACAACUGACUAUUGGGGGAGUCGUUAUUUACAUCGAAAUGCUAUUGUGCUUUGGUUUAAUAGCUAUACUUUUGUGUGAAGCUGACUUUGCUUGUGCAGAAAACGAUGCU